rnacentral:rRNA from 1 species
GAUGAACGCUGGCGGCGUGCCUAAUACAUGCAAGUCGAGCGAACGGACGAGAAGCUUGCUUCUCUGAUGUUAGCGGCGGACGGGUGAGUAACACGUGGAUAACCUACCUAUAAGACUGGGAUAACUUCGGGAAACCGGAGCUAAUACCGGAUAAUAUUUUGAACCGCAUGGUUCAAAAGUGAAAGACGGUCUUGCUGUCACUUAUAGAUGGAUCCGCGCUGCAUUAGCUAGUUGGUAAGGUAACGGCUUACCAAGGCAACGAUGCAUAGCCGACCUGAGAGGGUGAUCGGCCACACUGGAACUGAGACCCGGUCCAGACUCCUACGGGAGGCAGCAGUAGGGAAUCUUCCGCAAUGGGCGAAAGCCUGACGGAGCAACGCCGCGUGAGUGAUGAAGGGCCUCGGAUCGUAAAACUCUGUUAUUAGGGAAGAACAUAUGUGUAAGUAACUGUGCACAUCUUGACGGUACCUAAUCAGAAAGCCACGGCUAACUACGUG